UCACCCGCCAAUAGGGAACGUGAGCUGGGUUUAGACCGUCGUGAGACAGGUUAGUUUUACCCUACUGAUAACAGGUCGUUGCCGUAGUAAUCCUGCUUAGUACGAGAGGAACCGCAGGUUCGGGCAUUUGGUACACGCACUCGGUCGACAGGCCGGUGGUGCGAUGCCACCGUCCGCGGGAUUAUGCCUGAACGCCUCUAAGGCCGAAUCCCGACUAUGGUUCAACGAUUUAACAAUGGGUCCCGUGAGUCGAAAGGCUCAAAACAAUGUGACUUUAAUAGGCGGCCGGUUUAAACGGCUGUCGCCUGAGCCUUGUGGCUAAAAAUUCCAUUGUGUAAUUAAAUAUAUAGUAAAUUCUAGAUAUUUAAUUGGUUUUUUUAGCGUAACAUGGUUGAACCCUUCGGGGAGUUCGAUGUCGGGACCCAGAAUCGUCUGUAGACGACUUUUGUACCGGGCGGGGUGUUGUACUCGGGAGAGCAGUUAACUCGCUGCGAUCUGUUGAGACUCAGCCCUAGCUGGGGAGAUUCGU
rnacentral:ncRNA from 1 species